rnacentral:misc_RNA from 1 species
AGGUUGUAUUAAUUUUCUAUUCAAUGAAAAAGCUACAAAUGACCAAAUGCCAACCCAGUUCUCAAAAGUUUAUCUGUGAAAACUGGAGGAAAAGAAUCACCAUUACUAAUGUUCCUGGAGAGCUUUCCCUCGCUAUUGAGAUCCCAAUGAACUCCGCCACACUUCUCAAAGAAAAUGGUCAACACCUAACACCAUCUAGGGAAGGUGCAUCAGAUAUUACAAAUGAUACAUAAACCUCCAAAGUCCACCGUCCACCCUCAAGGAAUCUACAAAAUUUUCUUCCUCCUAAUGUUCAAGGCAGAAUAUGUGGUGGUAACAAGGCUACAAGAUCAUAGCAAUGUACCUAUACUAGGACACAAUUAAAGGCCUAAGAUCAUCUGACAUUGCUGAAGGUAUGCAAUGCGUAGUAAGAAUAUCUACAGUAGCCGCCUUGGCAGUCUUUGUCUGGAGAGCCACUAUCUGCUCAUAUUCCAAUUCAAAUUUCAAAAAUUCAUCAUCACAGCUCUCUACCAUGUUGGCCAAGCUCUUCAGAUUCUUCACAGGCUUGCCAUUGAAAGCAAGAACCUGAGUGUUAACAAUGUCCUCAUAACCGAUGUUAAUAUCAGCCACAAGCACCUGAGACACCACAACAAG